UACGUAGGGGGCAAGCGUUGUCCGGAAUCAUUGGGCGUAAAGCGCGUGUAGGCGGCUCGAUAAGUCUGCUGUAAAAGUCCAGGGCUCAACCCUGGAAAGCCGGUGGAAACUGUCGAGCUAGAGUCCGGAAGAGGCGAGUGGAAUUCCUGGUGUAGCGGUGAAAUGCGCAGAUAUCAGGAAGAACACCCGUGGCGAAGGCGCUCUCUGGAACGCAACUGACGCUGAGACGCGAAAGCGUGGGGAGCAAACAGG
rnacentral:rRNA from 1 species